CAAAGAAAUAAGCUUUUCCAGAGAUGGAUGUCCAAGGAUGCUAUUGAUUUAUUUUGAUUGAGGAGACGGCAGUGGAAAUACGGUUGCCCAGUGAGAUGAAUAACAUGAAAAUUAGGGAUGACGUACAAGAUAAACAAUACCCACUUAUUAUUGGCUCAAUCUUUGAUCCUGCUGUGGACUUUUCAAAAGGAGUAUUCUUCUUUUCUUAUCAGUUAUAACUU